UGCGUUGCUCUGUGCGGAGGGCCAGUUUAACGCGUAGCUCUGGACGGCGGGCCAGUUUAGCGCAUAGCUCUGGACGGAGGACUGGUGAAGCACGUAGCUCCGGACAGCGGACUCGGCUGAGCGUGGAGCACUGGUCAGGACCCGGUGGAGCGCAUGGCUCUGACUUUUUGCAUCCAGAAGGGGGAGUUGUGCUCUCACUAUAGGAAUGGUAAGACUGAAUGGAAGAGGACUCCUCUCUGCAGAGUGUGUGGAUCAGUUAUGCAGUGGCGACUAGUCUGGUCUGUUUAACAUUUGACCAGUCUGAGUCCCAUAUACCAGUCCAAUCCAGUACAGACUGGCCAUGUUUUAGAGUUCAGACGGUCGACUGAUCAGUCCUUCAUCUGGUGUUAUCACGUGUUCGAGCAGUGAGGGUUACUGCAGGAACAGACUGUUCUGGUGGCCAAGCCUCCCCCUUCCCCUUAUUCUCUCUCCCUCUGCACGUGGUGAUGGAUCGCUCGUUUUCCCCACACUGACGACAGGAACGUGGCCCUCUGCGCCAGUACACGCCCUUCUCUAGCGUGUCGGUCUGGACCUGUCCGUGCACUCCGGGACGGACAGCGGCGCUGAUUUUCCGUCCACCUGUUGCAGGACGUGCGGUCGGAAAUGACGGCUAGAGAAAAUCGGACUGGUGGGCUUUCGCUCUGGAGUUGGGAAAGCUGGGCUUACGCACGCACUGUGUCAAGAGGAUGUGAACGAGGACACAUGUUUGAGGAAGCGUCUUUGUGCUGUCGGGGGUGUAAUUUAUACACGAGAGAGAGAGCGAGAGCUCCUGCAGGAACAAAUGUAUCAAACCUCUAAUAAAACUUUAAGGAAACAGA